GCAUAUCAAUAAGCGGAGGAAAAGAAACCAACAGGGAUUGCCCUAGUAACGGCGAGUGAAGCGGCAACAGCUCAAAUUUGAAAUCUGGCGUCUUCGGCGUCCGAGUUGUAAUUUGCAGAGGGCGCUUUGGCAUUGGCAGCGGUCCAAGUUCCUUGGAACAGGACGUCACAGAGGGUGAGAAUCCCGUACGUGGUCGCUAGCCUUUACCGUGUAAAGCCCCUUCGACGAGUCGAGUUGUUUGGGAAUGCAGCUCUAAAUGGGAGGUAAAUUUCUUCUAAAGCUAAAUACUGGCCAGAGACCGAUAGCGCACAAGUAGAGUGAUCGAAAGAUGAAAAGCACUUUGGAAAGAGAGUUAAAAAGCACGUGAAAUUGUUGAAAGGGAAGCGCUUGCAGCCAGACUUGCCUGUAGUUGCUCAUCCGGGUUUCUACCCGGUGCACUCUUCUAUAGGCAGGCCAGCAUCAGUUUGGGCGGUUGGAUAAAGGUCUCUGUCAUGUACCUCUCUUCGGGGAGAACUUAUAGGGGAGACGACAUGCAACCAGCCUGGACUGAGGUCCGCGCAUCUGCUAGGAUGCUGGCGUAAUGGCUGUAAGCGGCCCGUCUUGAAACACGGAC
rnacentral:sRNA from 1 species